rnacentral:lncRNA from 1 species
CGGGUGCUCUCCCUUUCAACUAGAACAAUAGGGUUUUGAAGAUGGAUGUGUAGUAACAGCAGCCUUUUCAGUUCUCUCUAUGACUCCUCAUUAUAAGGUUAUUUUCUUGUGUUUUGAAAUAGAAAUGCUGCCUUUGAUGCUACCGUUUAAAUUUUCUUUUUUCUUUCUUUCUUUUUUUUUUUCCUAAGGAAAGCGUCCCCUACUUAUUACCUUGCCCUGUCACCUGGGCACAAUGUGGUAAACAGCAUUCUAAAUAAAUAUUUUCUAAUAUGCCUUCAAGUACAACUUUCCUUUUGAGUGCAAAUAGGAUAAUUGGGGAGAGGAGAAGAAAGCAGCCCUGAAUGCUCUGUUUUAAGCAGGGAAGAGUGUGAUUGUUUGGCUGCUCUGAUGUGGGGCUCAUCAGCAGUUUCCAGGAGAGCCUGGGGAAUUCAGGAGCAGCCUUUUAGUGACUGGGCUGCCUGCAUUUGAAUCUCAGCAGGGGCAAAGAUUUGAGGCAUUCUUCUGACUAGAAAGACAGAGUUUGUCUCUUUGUCCCUGGCAUCCUUCCUAGUGUUUCUGUCGAUUUUUCUGCUCCCCAUGACUUACUUUCACUGGCCUCUUUUCUCCAGGGCUGUGCAUUUCCUAGCAUGGCUUUCAUGCUCUCCCUCUUUCCCCCCCGUCUCAGCUCCUGUAUGUGUCUCUGUUCCCCUCCAUCUUUCUGUUAGCACCUUCCCAUCUCUCUUAUGUUUCUCCUGACAUAUGCAUCUGCUCAACUUGCUACCCUCCUUUUGCUACCCGGCUUUUGGCCUCCUGACAACACAAGGUGCGGCUGCCGUCCUGACAGGCAGCAACAGGCAGGGGAGAGGCAGGCUGUGUGCUACCGGAAGGGAAGUUCAGGAGCAGUUUCAGGAUGCCUGAAAAGCUCAAAUAAGUGAAUUGGGCCCCAUCUGAAAGUCUCUGAAGGAUCCUGCAAUUGCGUCUGACCAGCACAUAAUAAUCCUGCGAGGAGGUUUUCUCUGUAAUUCACUCAGUGCCUCAGAGCUGGAGCUGGACAAGAGAUACAUAAUUUAUACAGGCAAUUACACAUCAAUUGGUUAUUAAAAGUGCCCUCAUUGAGAUGUACUGUAUUGAGGACACAGAGAUAAAUCUGGUUCCCCAGGUAACAAGCUCUAGCUCACAGACAGGAGGCAAAUUUUCUGAUUCGGGAUUGGCGCAACUUCUCUGACCCUGCUCUUCUUUGCCUACAGUGUGGUUGCUCUGCCGGUGCGUGGGCGGGUGAAGAAAGAAACAGCGGGGAGAAAGCCACGGUAUGAAUAAUCGCCCCGUGCUUUUCUUGGAGCCCUUUCCUCUUGGGAAAAAAUA